GAUAAAGCAAAUCAAAAUAGUGGAUAUGGGAGAUUAGAUGCAAAAAGUUAGAGGUAUAAAUCUAAGAUUCAAUGUUACACUUGUAAAAAAUAUGGACAUUAUUCCUAUGAAUGUUUUUAUAAUAAAGAUAACCAAGUUGAAGAAGCAUUAAUUAUGUUGAGAAAACAGAAGAGGAUCCUUUAUUAUUGUUAGCCUAUAAAGGAGAUAAAGCCAGC
rnacentral:lncRNA from 1 species